rnacentral:rRNA from 1 species
UGAGGAAUAUUGGUCAAUGGGCGGGAGCCUGAACCAGCCAAGUCGCGUGAAGGAAGAAGGAUCUAUGGUUCGUAAACUUCUUUUGCAGGGGAAUAAAGUGCAGGACGUGUCCUGUUUUGUAUGUACCCUGAGAAUAAGGAUCGGCUAACUCCGUGCCAGCAGCCGCGGUAAUACGGAGGAUCCGAGCGUUAUCCGGAUUUAUUGGGUUUAAAGGGUGCGUAGGUGGUUUGAUAAGUCAGCGGUGAAAGUUUGCAGCUUAACUGUAAAAAUGCCGUCGAAACCGUCGGACUUGAGUGUAAAUGAGGUAGGCGGAAUGCGUGGUGUAGCGGUGAAAUGCAUAGAUAUCACGCAGAACUCCGAUUGCGAAGGCAGCUUACUAAGCUACAACUGACACUGAAGCACGAAAGCGUGGGGAUCAAACA